rnacentral:piRNA from 1 species
GGAAAUUAGAGGUACCAUCUUAGA